rnacentral:rRNA from 1 species
UACGGAAGGGGGCUAGCGUUGUCGAAUUACUGGGCGUAAAGCGCGACGUAGGCGGACCUGCAAGUCGGGGGUGAAAGCCCGGAGGCUCAAACCUCGGAACUGCAUUCGAUACUGCCGUGCUUGAGGACUGGAGAGGAGACUGGAAUUUACGGUGUAGCGGUGAAAUGCGUAGAUAUCGUAAGGAAGACCAGUGGCGAAGGCGGGUCUCUGGACAGUUCCUGACGCUGAGGCACGAAAGCGUGGGGAGCAAACAGG